GGGCUCGUGGUCUAAUGGAAAUCGAAUGACCAAAUUGACACCACGUUCGCAACGUGGAGGCUCCGGGUUCGACUCCCGGCGAGUCCA
rnacentral:tRNA from 1 species